rnacentral:rRNA from 1 species
AGGCCUUGCGCUCUUUGAGCGGCCGAUAUCAGAUUAGCUAGUUGGUGGGGUAAAAGCUCACCAAGGCGACGAUCUGUAGCGGGUCUGAGAGGAUGAUCCGCCACACUGGAACUGAGACACGGUCCAGACUCCUACGGGAGGCAGCAGUGGGGAAUUUUGGACAAUGGGGGCAACCCUGAUCCAGCCAUGCCGCGUGAGUGAAGAAGGCCUUCGGGUUGUAAAGCUCUUUCGGCCGGGAAGAAAUCGUAUCAGCUAAUACCUGGUGCGGAUGACGGUACCGGCAUAAGAAGCACCGGCUAACUACGUGCCAGCAGCCGCGGUAAUACGUAGGGUGCGAGCGUUAAUCGGAAUUACUGGGCGUAAAGCGUGCGCAGGCGGUUUUGUAAGACAGGCGUGGAAUCCCCGGGCUCAACCUGGGAACUGCGUUUGUGACUGCAAGGCUAGAGUACGGCAGAGGGGGGUGGAAUUCCACGUGUAGCAGUGAAAUGCGUAGAGAUGUGGAGGAACACCAAUGGCGAAGGCAGCCCCCUGGGUCGAUACUGACGCUCAUGCACGAAAGCGUGGGUAGCAAACAGGAUUAGAUACCCUGGUAGUCCACGCCCUAAACGAUGUCAACUAGGUGUUGGGAGGGUAAAACCUUUUAGUACCGGAGCUAACGCGUGAAGUUGACCGCCUGGGGAGUACGGCCGCAAGGUUAAAACUCAAAGGAAUUGACGGGGACCCGCACAAGCGGUGGAUGAUGUGGAUUAAUUCGAUGCAACGCGAAAAACCUUACCUACCCUUGACAUGUCAGGAACUUUCCAGAGAUGGAUUGGUGCUCGAAAGAGAACCUGAACACAGGUGCUGCAUGGCUGUCGUCAGCUCGUGUCGUGAGAUGUUGGGUUAAGUCCCGCAACGAGCGCAACCCUUGUCGUUAAUUGCCAUCAUUUAGUUGGGCACUUUAACGAGACUGCCGGUGACAAACCGGAGGAAGGUGGGGAUGACGUCAAGUCCUCAUGGCCCUUAUGGGUAGGGCUUCACACGUCAUACAAUGGUCGGUACAAAGGGUCGCCAAGCCGCGAGGUGGAGCUAAUCCCAGAAAGCCGAUCGUAGUCCGGAUUGCAGGCUGCAACUCGCCUGCAUGAAGUCGGAAUCGCUAGUAAUCGUGGAUCAGCAUGUCACGGUGAAUACGUUCCCGGGUCUUGUACACACCGCCCGUCACACCAUGGGAGCGGGUUCCGCCAGAAGUAGGUAGCCUAACCGCAAGGAGGGCGCUUACCACGGCGGGGUUCGUGAC